rnacentral:rRNA from 1 species
UACGGGGGGGGCAAGCGUUGUUCGGAAUUACUGGGCGUAAAGGGCUCGUAGGCGGCCAACUAAGUCAUACGUGAAAUCCCCCGGCUUAACCGGGGAACUGCGUCUGAUACUGGAUGGCUUGAGUUCGGGAGAGGGAUGCGGAAUUCCAGGUGUAGCGGUGAAAUGCGUAGAUAUCUGGAGGAACACCGGUGGCGAAGGCGGCAUCCUGGACCAACACUGACGCUGAGUGGGCGAAAGCCAGGGGAGCAAACGGG